GCGGUCGCCUCCCAAAAGGUAACGGAGGCGCUCAAAGGUUCUCUCAGUACGGUCGGAAAUCGUACGUAGAGUGUAAAGGCAAAAGAGAGCUUGAUUGCAAGACAUACAGGUCGAGCAAGGAUGAAAAUCGGACUUAGUGAUCCGGUGGUUCUGCGUGGAAGGGCCAUCGCUCAACGGAUAAAAGCUACCCUGGGGAUAACAGGCUUAUCUCCCCCAAGAGUCCACAUCGACGGGGAGGUUUGGCACCUCGAUGUCGGCUCAUCACCUCCUGGGGCUGUAGUAGGUCCCAAGGGUUGGGCUGUUCGCCCAUUAAAGUGGUACGCGAGCUGGGUUCAGAACGUCGUGAGACAGUUCGGUCCCUAUCCGUCGCAGGCGUAGGAAAUUUGAGAAGACCUGUCCUUAGUACGAGAGGACCGGGAUGGACGUACCUCUGGUGUACCAGUUGUCCUGCCAAGGGCAUGGCUGGGUAGCUAUGUACGGAAUGGAUAAGCGCUGAAAGCAUCUAAGCGCGAAG
rnacentral:rRNA from 1 species